UACGUAGGGGCCUAGCGUUGUCCGGAUUUAUUGGGCGUAAAGAGCUCGUAGGCGGUUCGGUAAGUCAGGUGUGAAAUCUCCACGCUCAACGUGGAGGCGCCACCUGAAACUGCCGUGACUCGAGUCCGGUAGGGGAGUGUGGAAUUCCCGGUGUAGCGGUGGAAUGCGCAGAUAUCAGGAGGAACACCUGUGGUGUAGACAGCUUACUGGACCACGACUGACGCUGAGACACGAAAGCGUGGGUAGCAAACAGG
rnacentral:rRNA from 1 species